UCUGCAGUAGGGAUAGAGAAGUGCCAAUCUAAGCUGGCAAUAGUAGCUUGGCUGAUUUGGACAGCUCUAAACGAAAGGAUCUUUCAAAAAUAUUACACAGUCCUCCAUACAUCGAUCUAGUGAGAAGAGCUUCUGACUACCUUAGUUACUCAUAACGACAAUGCAGAACACCAAGUCCCCUCUAAGCUUCUAUCAAGGAACUGGGGUGGUUGUAAGCUGCUAACAAUGGCAGCACUUCUAACCUGAAUGUCUCCUGGCUACCCGCUCCCUUAGGAACCUUAAAAGAGAAUUUUGAUGCUAGGGUAACAAUGGACGGGGUGGCUGUCAGGUUUAUAAUUAGAGAUAGUGAGGGCCAUCUUAUUAGAGCUGGCGACAAAGCUUUGCAGCCUGGAUUGGGUUGCACACUGUUGUGACAUACUUAAAUCAACCGAAAGUAUGGUUGUAAGGUGAUUCCACAAUUGUUGUAUCAUGCAUAUUGCCAACUCUUCUAUGGGGAGAAACUUGGAGAUGCCAUUAUUGUAAGAC
rnacentral:lncRNA from 1 species